rnacentral:tRNA from 1 species
GCAGUCGUGGCCGAGUUGUUAAGGCGAUGGACUGGAAAUCCAUUGGGGUCUCCCCGCACAGGUCCGAAUCCUGUCGACUGCG